rnacentral:tRNA from 1 species
GUAGGUAUAGCUCAGUUGGUAGAGCACUUGCCUCAAAUGCACAAAGUCCUGGGUUCGAUCCCCAGCACCACCA